CUCACAGGAAACGUCUUCUGCUUUAGGCGCCCGGGUGUUACUGUCAAGUUCUUUUUCGGACCGGGAGUGGGGUCUGGCCAGGGUGGGGCACGGGGAUCGGGGUGUGUGUGUGUGUGUGUGUGUGUGUGUGUGUGUGUGUGUGUGCGCGCGUGCCCCCCACGUAAUCGCAGGCAACCGGUGAGGUCUGGAAGAUCUGGAAGGGGAAGACUUCAUGUUCGUGUGUGCAUGCCAUCUCCCACAUGCGUCGGGUUGAAGUGCUGCAUGGAGAGGGAAGAUACAAUACAGGGGAAGAGAUUCUUGGCAGAGGACAAGCGUGCUGGUCUUGCCAGCAAGGAGUGGGAGAGGAAAAAAGCCAAAAGACAACCAGAAAUUGAGGCUGGAUCAAGUCUUUGUUCUUUCAUCGACUGUGUGGGGUGAAGAUGUCUGAACUCGACGAUUAUCAUUCAUUUCAAGUAGGUUUCAUAUUUUAUGUACUGUAAAAGGUUUUCAGGAUCCUUAGCAGCCUGGUCUUUUUUUUUUUUUUUUUUUUUUUGGCAAAUGGUACAGAAUAGAGCAAGAUUAUUACGUCCCCUGGCCAUGAUGCAACAUUCUUAUUUAUAUGUCCAAAGCCUCGUUUGAUUUUUUGACAACUGACUUAUUUAAUUGACACUGUGUUUGCGAUCAAAUAAAAUUUCAGUUUUUGUAGGAAUUUUCUUGUCAUUAAAUUUUUUUUUGUAAAAUACAUGGGGAGAAAUUGUCCAAAAUGUAAAUGUCAGUAAAUAUCCAAGGGUCCCUAUGGCUAUAAGUUAAUGAUGGAAUGAAUGAAUAAAUAAAUAAAUGGAGGAAAAGAGACAAAUAUCUCACAUGGGAAAAUGCCCCAAAAAACUUGUGCAGCUAUUCUCCACUCAAGGAGGUGACACAGAACUCACACUUCACGAGCUUGGCUGCACAGAUGGUUUCCUUCUGAGGAGCACAGCGUGGAGACAGGGAAACAGAGUAAUUGGACACUGGAGAAACGUGACAACCACAACCUCAACCAGGUGAUCAAGGUCGGCAUCAAUAGUGAUAAGUCAUGUGAUGAAAAUGCAGAACAUUCUACAAAAGGCCUGAUCAGCACUGCCAAGUUUAUCCAAAACAAGGAACUUCUGAGAAAUGGCCACAGACAAGGGGAAGCUAAGGAACCCUGAGCAGUCAAUGUCACGCAGGAUCUCGGAUGGGUCAAUGUCACACGGGAUCUUGGCUGGGUCGAUGUCAUGAGGGAUCUUGGAUGGGACCCUGCAGCAGAACACGGACAUCAGCUUAUGUUUCGAUUCAGCCAGCUGGACUCAGUUUAGAUGCUCCCAAUUUGGUUGGCAACAUCCAAAACAUCAUCGUCAAGAAACAGUUGAACAUAACAUGCCUUCUUCUCUCCAUCGGGCCUGGUCAGGAUGUUGACCUUGGCCACAUCAGAGUCCUAGAGCUGCUCCACAGCCUGACCGAUCUGGUGCUGGUUAGCCUUGAUGUCCACAAAGAACACACGUGUGCUGUUAUCUUCUAUUUUCUUCAUGGCUGGCUCCUCUGCCCCUCCCCCAUGCUCGAGUACUUGUUCUCUUUCCCUCAAAUAAAUAAAUAAAGU